rnacentral:lncRNA from 1 species
AAAUACUGGUUGGUGAAAUGCGCUGGAGGUGUGCAAAUACUUAUGGCAUUCUUGUAUUUGAUUUUUCCAUUAUCUAUGUAAAUUAAAAUGAAGAAAAGAAAUACUUCAAUGCUCUUUUUAUAAAUGGUUGACUACUGCCAAAAAUGCUGCUCUUACAAAUUUGUCGACAUAGGCUCAGGCCUUAUCAACUUAGGCGAUAAUACAGCAUUGAAAUAUCCAAUAGUUUGGUACCACUUUGGUUGUGAUUACAACAGAUUAUCAGAAGUUUUUUCUGUAUUCUGUUUUGAUCCAUAUGGGUAUAAUAAUAUUCUGUUUAAUAUUAUUACACUAAUAGUAUACUAACUUUAGUAUAUUUAUUCAGAUAUUAGCUUGUAAUUACUGAUGAGGGCUUGGUAGAGCUGAAAGUGCUUUAGUUAAUAAAACUGUUAUAGUAUUAGUGGAUUUAUUUUGCUAUAAUUCUGAGAAUACUACUUUCUCUGCUUAAAGUGCUAAAAAAAGGUCCAAUUAAUAGAUUGAGC